CCCAAAAACAAUCCCGCCAAAAAGAUGUUCUUCUUUUACAAAAAUUCAGAUUAGCAAUUUGAAUUCCAAAUAGAAAAUACACAAAAAAAUAAAAAACAAAAAACCAAAAAAAAAUCACUAUUUUAUAGGAUUUUUAGUCAACUUUCAGUUUCUGCCUUUAUGUUUUAGUUCUAUUCGAUAUUAAGUGUUUGGGUAGCAUCAGGGGAAUUUGAGUUUGCGUCCAAACUCAACUGCUGAAGAAAUCUGCUACUUUUUUGGUAUAAAUUCAACAAUACUCGAGUGUGUUCUGAAAAUUUGUGGUAGUUUUCUUGGUUGUGGCCUGAUUUCAAAGCUAUUCGUGGUUGUUUAAGCUAAGAUCUGGUUGUUGAUUUUUGUUCGUGUGGGCUGCUACUAACUGACUUUGCUUCUUCUUAAUUCCGAAAUUCCAGGUACACAUUUGAAACUACAGUGAUGUAACCACACUUGGAGUGAAAUGACUUUGUAUUUAUUAAUCUGUGUUCGUCUAGUUAAAUAUAUAAUGGUAAUUGUUCAGUUGAUGAGUAGUAAUGUACAUUUGGCCUGUUAGAUUGGAUUUAUAAAAAGUACUGUUAAGUAGACUGAUUUAAUUGUAUUAAUUUGACCCAUGAACUUGAUUUGAUUAGUUUGUUAACUUUGAGUAUCGUAGCUUCA
rnacentral:lncRNA from 1 species